AUGAACGCUAGCGGCAGGCCUAAUACAUGCAAGUCGAACGAGAUUGAGGAGCUUGCUCCUCAUGAAAGUGGCGCACGGGUGCGUAACGCGUAUGCAAUCUACCUUAAUCAGGGGGAUAGCCCGGAGAAAUCCGGAUUAAUACCGCAUAACGUUAUUUUAUGGCAUCAUAGAAUAACCAAACAUUUAUGGGAUUAAGGUGAGCAUGCGUGACAUUAGUUAGUUGGUGAGGUAACGGCUCACCAAGACUACGAUGUCUAGGGGAUCUGAGAGGAUGACCCCCCACACUGGUACUGAGACACGGACCAGACUCCUACGGGAGGCAGCAGUAAGGAAUAUUGGUCAAUGGGCGCAAGCCUGAACCAGCCAUGCCGCGUGCAGGAAGACGGCCCUACGGGUUGUAAACUGCUUUUAUUCGGGAAUAAACCUCUUUACGUGUAAGGAGCUGAAUGUACCGAAGGAAUAAGGAUCGGCUAACGUCCGUGCCAGCAGCCGAC
rnacentral:rRNA from 1 species